AGUUUGAUCAUGGCUCAGGACGAACGCUGGCGGCGUGCUUAACACAUGCAAGUCGAGCGGAAAGGCCCUUCGGGGUACUCGAGCGGCGAACGGGUGAGUAACACGUGAGCAACCUGCCCUUAGCUCCGGGAUAGCUCCGGGAAACCGGAAUUAAUACCGGAUAUAACCACGGCCGACAUCUGCUGUGGUGGAAAGGAUUCCGGCUAAGGAUGGGCUCGCGGCCUAUCAGCUAGUUGGUGGGGUAACGGCCCACCAAGGCGACGACGGGUAGCCGGCCUGAGAGGGCGACCGGCCACACUGGGACUGAGACACGGCCCAGACUCCUACGGGAGGCAGCAGUGGGGAAUAUUGCGCAAUGGGCGAAAGCCUGACGCAGCGACGCCGCGUGGGGGAUGAAGGCCUUCGGGUUGUAAACCCCUUUCAGCAGGGACGAAGCGAAAGUGACGGUACCUGCAGAAGAAGCACCGGCCAACUACGUGCCAGCAGCCGCGGUUA
rnacentral:rRNA from 1 species